rnacentral:lncRNA from 1 species
GGAAGACUUAAGAUGGCGGCGUUUGCACGGAGUGCAAUCACUGCGUCCUUACGGGGGUUGCAAGGCGUCCGAAGUAUGAGUCCACUAACAAAAGUCCAGAAACUCGCCAGUUAAUAGUAUUGUGUCUCUUCAAAAUAUCGGAGAAUAAUUUCUUUCUCGCUGAUCGCCUAACUUCUACUGACGAAGCUUGGAAGUUGCAGAAGGUUGGAGUGCAAUGGCGCGAUCUCGGCUGACUGCAACCUCCACCUCCUGGAUUCAAGCUAUUCUCCUGCCUCAGCCUGCCGAGUAGCUGGGAUUACAGGCAUGUGCCACCGCACCCAGCUAAUUUUGUAUUUUUUAGUAGAGAUGGGGUUUCUCCAUGUUGGUCAGGCUGGUCUUGAACUCCUGACCUCAGGUGAUCCGCCCACCUCAGCCUCCCAAAGUGCUGGGAUUACAGGCGUGAGCCACCGCGCCCGGCCAGAACAUUAGUUUUAAACUUCCUAACCCUUGGGAGAAGGCAAAACACUUGAUGAAAUCUACAUAAAGACUAAAACAUUUUACCAAUUUUGCAUUGUUUGUUUGAAAUUGCAUUGACGACUGAUGGAGUUCGCUCUUGUUGCCCAGGCUGGAAUGCAAUGGCAUGACCUUGGCUCACUGCAACCUCUGCCUCCCCAGUUCAAGUGGUUCUCCUGCCUCAGCCUCCCGAGUAGCUGAGAUUACAGAAAUACAAAAAAAAUUCUAAAACUUGUAUGGAACUACAAAAGACAUUAAAUAAUCAAAGUAAUCUUGAGCAACAAGGACACAGCUGGAGGCAUCACUCUACCUGAUUUUGUAAUCCAUUAUCAAAAAACUGUGGUACCAGCAUAAAAACAGAUUCACUGACCAGUGGAACAGGAAAGCCCAGACAUAACUCAUACAUUUCCAUCCAAUUGAUUUUUGACAAAAGUGGCACACAGAAUGGGGAGAGGACAAAUAAAUAAAUAAAUUGUUUUGAGAUAUCUGUAUAUCUAUAUGUGAAAUUGAACCAUUUUCUCAUAGCAUAUAGAAAAAUCAACUCAAAAUGGAUUAAAGCCUGAAAUGUUGCCUUUGAAACUGUAAAACUACUAGUAGAAAAUAUAGGGGAAAAGCUCUAUGAUGUUGUUCUGGGCAAUGAUUUCUUGGAUACAUCCUUAAAAGCAUGGGCAGCAAAAACAGCCAGACAACUAUCAGGGAACCUGCCCAGAUAGUCACAUAGGUUCUUUUCUAUUUUCCCUAAGCAUUGGCCGGGUUGAGAAAUAAAGGGACAGAGUACAAAAGAGAGAAAUUUUAAAGCUGGGCAUCCUGGGGAGACAUCACAUGUCGGUAGGUUCCGUGAUGCCCCCUGAGCCGUAAAACCAGUAAGUUUUUAUUAGGGAUUUUCAAAGGGGAGGGAGUAUACGAAUAGGAGGUGGGUCACAGAGAUCACGUGCUUCACAAGGUAAUAGAAUAUCACAAGGCAAAUGGAGGCAGGGCGAGAUCACAGGACCACAGGACUGGGUUGAAAUUAAAAUUGCUAAUGAAGUUUCGGGCACCAUCGUCAUUGAUAACAUCUUAUCAGGAGACAGGGUUUGAGAGCAACCUGUCUGACCAAAAUUUAUUAGGUGGGAAUUUCCUCGUCCUAAUAAGCCUGGGAGCGCUAUGGGAGACUGGGGCUUAUUUCAUCCCUACAGUCUCGACCAUAGAAGACAGCUACACCCAAGGGGGCCAUUUUAGAGGCCCACCCUCAGGGGCACAUUCUCUUUCUCAGGGAUGUUCCUUGCUGAGAAAAAGAAUUCGGCGAUAUUUCUCCCAUUUGCUUUUGAAAGAAGAGAAAUAUGGCUCUGUUCCGCCUGGCUCACCGGCGGUCAGAGUUUAAGGUUAUCUCUCUUAUUCCCUGAACAUUGCUGUUAUCCUGUUCUUUUUUCAAGGUGCCUAGAUUUCAUAUUGUUUAAACACACAUGCUCUACAAUUUCUGCACUUAACACAAUUAUCACAGGGUCCUGAGGCGACAUACGUCCUCCUCGGCUUACGAGAUGACAGGAUUAAGAGAUUAAAACAGGCAUAGGAAAUCACAAGGGUAUUGAUUGGGGAAGUGAUAAGUGUCCAUGAAAUCUUCACAAUUUAUGUUUAGAGAUUGCAGUAAAGACAGGCAUAAGAAAUUAUAAAAGUAUUAAUUUGGGGAACUAAUAAAUGUCCAUGAAAUCUUCACGAUCCACGUUCUUCCGCCAUGGCUUCAGCCAGUCCCUCCGUUUGGGGUCCCUGACUUCCCGCAACAGACAACUUGAGUUGCAUCAAACUAAAAAGCAUCUGCACUGCAAAGGGUACAGUUAACAGAAUGAAGACACGGGUUUUGAGAAACCAUUUUCAAAUCAUAUAUCUGAUAAGGGGCUAAUAUCCAAAAUGUAUUAAGAAACCCAAGCCCAAUAGCAAGAAAACAACUGUCUUUAAAAGGGGGAAAAGGACCUCAACUUAAAUUUUUCAGAGGAAGACAUGAGUGGCCAAUUGAUUGAUACAUGAAAAAAAUGCUCAACAUCUCUAAUCAUUAGUGAGUUGCAAAUCAAAACUGCAAGAUAUUACCUUACACCUUUUAGAAUGGCUAUUAUUAAAAGGAUGAAAGACAGGUGCUGGCAAGGAUGUGGAUAAAAGGAAGUCCCAACAUUCUGUUAGUGGGAAUAUAAAUUAGUAUAGCCAAUUUAGGAAACUAUAUGGUGGUUCCUUAAGAAACUAAAAGUACAAUUACUAUAUGAUCUAGCAAUCUCUACUUAGGUAUAUAUCCAAAGGAAUUGAAGCAGUAUGUUGAGAUCUUGCACUCCCUUAUUUUGAAAUUAUUUACAAAGCUAAUAAAUGGAAAAGACUUAAGUUUUCAUAACAGAUGAAUGGACAUAGAAGAUGUGUUGUAUAUACAUAUUGGAAUAUUUUUUAUCCUUGGAAAAGAAGGAAAAUUGUCAUUUGUGACAACAUGGAUGAAUCUGUAGUAUACUA